rnacentral:rRNA from 1 species
AGUGAACGCUGGCGGUAGGCCUAACACAUGCAAGUCGAACGGCAGCACAGUAAGAGCUUGCUCUUACGGGUGGCGAGUGGCGGACGGGUGAGGAAUACAUCGGAAUCUACUUUUUCGUGGGGGAUAACGUAGGGAAACUUACGCUAAUACCGCAUACGACCUACGGGUGAAAGCAGGGGAUCUUCGGACCUUGCGCGAUUGAAUGAGCCGAUGUCGGAUUAGCUAGUUGGCGGGGUAAAGGCCCACCAAGGCGACGAUCCGUAGCUGGUCUGAGAGGAUGAGCAGGGAGACUGGAAGGGAGACACGGAACAGAGGCCUACGGGAGGCAGCAGUGGGGAAUAUGGGACAAUGGGCGCAAGACUGAUAAAGCAAUACCGCGGGGGAGAAGAAGGAGUUCGGGUGGUAAAGCCGUUUUGUUGGGAAAGAAAAGAAGCAGGGUAAUAAAAAGCUGUUCUGACGGUACCAAAAGAAGAAGCACCGGCUAACUUCGUG